CACGGUUCACAUAGCAACCCUAGAUUCUAGAAUGUGUAGAUUUCCAGGCCUAAGAAACAGGCCUAACUUUUUUACACAGAGAAACAUACACACCUUCGCUGACCCAGUUGAUCUUUUUUCCAAAGUGUUGUUGAAAAUGUUGGACCUACUGCUUAUAAACAGUGAAGCUACUUCACGCCAGAAGGCUAGCUGAUUCUGGACAUUCUGCUCAAGCCCGGAACUACUGCAGGACCAUUGCUACGGCAGUAGCCACCUUCCCCAGCAACAUCACAGUCAUCCUCAUGAGCCGUCUUAUUAGGCUCUCUGAGGAACUGUACAGAGGGAAGGCCAAAGAACCCAACUGGCUGGUAAAUCUUCGCUACCUGUGCCUACACAAGGUGGAACAGAUUCCUGGGAAGGAUUAUAUUAUCCCAGAGCAGCAGGAGGUGUGGGAUGUGGACUCUCAGUCACAGGGUCUCCUGACAGCUGAAAAGUUCACUCUCCAUCUUACUGCCAUGGAGCUGCAGGCUGAGAUGUGGGAUGAAGACUCAGAUUCAGAUGGUUCUCUGAUGCCUGAAACGUCCACCACCUAUGUGAAUACUUCAGAACUCCAGCCUGAGGUCUGGGAUGUGGACAGCGAGGUCCAAGAGAUGCCCACUUUCCAUCCUUCGUGUCUGAAAUUCCUCACUGAACCAGAGGCACAGAGAUUUCUUGCCUUGUACACCGUGGGUGACAUGCUGGGGAGUGGAGGCUUUGGCACAGUUUAUGAAGGAACUUGUAAGAAAGAUGGACAACAGAGACCACGCGGUGGACGCAGUUGGGGGUCCUGUCCAAGGAUCCCACAGAUGGAUACCACGUGGGCAUUUCUGCGUUCAGUGAGCGUCUUCAUCGCAAAUGAGUCACGUUCCUGUCUUGCGGAGUCAACAUCAUAAAACUAGGGACCGCAACGACCUGGAUUGCAACAACCUUGCCAUGUGUUUGGCAGGGCAUGAUAAGCAUGUCUGCCAAAAGCCCACAAUGUGCUUUUGGCACAAUUUCAGAUCAAUGCCCAAAUAUUCACUAACCUGCUUAAGGGCCGGGCUGACGAAAAGUGUAUCCUUGUCACUGGAGAUUUUAGUGGUAAUUCCCCACCUAGGAAUUAUGUCCCUAAGCAGUGUCUUUGCUACUGCGUCUGGGUACUGUUUGGACGUAGGGAAUGCUUCCACCCGUUUAGAGAACUAGGUUUGUCUGGAGUUGGGUGUGCGGCCUUCUCUACCUUCAAACCCACGAUAUGAGUUGCGCAAACACCGUAAACAAAUUUUUUUUUAAAAGAGUAAUUAGAGAAGCAUUUGGUAAACCAAUGCUUUGUUAUCACAGCUAUCAUUCCCCCUUUUGAUACAUGGUCUCUCCCAUGCAUAAUAUGGGAAUAUGUAUUUUGGGAGACAAGGGCAGCCUUGUGAGCACUGCCAG
ensembl:lncRNA